rnacentral:tRNA from 1 species
ACUCUUAUAGUUGAAUACAACAGAUGCUUUUCACGCCUCAAGUUUGGGUUAAACCCCCAAUAAGAGUU